rnacentral:rRNA from 1 species
GAUGAACGCUGACAGAAUGCUUAACACAUGCAAGUCGAUGGGGAAGUGGUGCUUGCACCAUGGCAACCAUGGCGGACGGGUGAGUAACGCGUAAGGGACUUACCUGCAGGACUGGGAUAACAGGGGGAAACUCCUGACAAGACCGGAUAAUGUCAUGGAGCUGCAUGGCUUUAUGAUGAAAGGAGACGCCUGCGGAGAGCCUUGCGUCCUAUUAGCUAGUUGGUGAGGUAAUGGCUCACCAAGGCGAAGAUAGGUAGCCGGCCUGAGAGGGUGGACGGCCACAAGGGGACUGAGAUACGGCCCUUACUCCUACGGGAGGCAGCAGUGGGGAAUAUUGGACAAUGGGGGCAACCCUGAUCCAGCAAUUCUGUGUGCACGAAGAAGGUUUUCGGAUUGUAAAGUGCUUUCAGCAGGGAGGAAGUAAGUGACGGUACCUGCAGAAGAAGCGACGGCUAAAUACGUG